rnacentral:misc_RNA from 1 species
GAUGAAGAACGUAGCGAAAUGCGAUAAGUAAUGUGAAUUGCAGAAUUCAGUGAAUCAUCGAAUCUUUGAACGCACAUUGCGCCCGCCAGUAUUCUGGCGGGCAUGCCUGUUCGAGCGUCAUUUCAACCCUCAGGCCCCCAGUGCCUGGCGUUGGGGAUCGGCGCGGCGCCCUCCGGGGCGCUGCCGGCCCCGAAAUUCAGUGGCGGUCUCGCUGUAGCCCUCCUCCGCGUAGUAGCACAACCUCGCGGCCUGGAGCUCGGCGGUGGCCAUGCCGUAAAACACCCCACUUCUGAAAGUUGACCUCGGAUCAGGUAGGAAUACCCGCUGAACUUAAGCAUAUCAUAAGCGGAGGA